CUUCCUGUUCCGGUUGCCGCGGAGAUUCGGUUGCCUAGCAAGAGGCGAGGUUUCGGCUGCUGAAGGCUACCGAGAUGUCUCUAUCCCAGCCUACUGCAGGCAGUUGCUUAUUUUAGAUGGUGGGUCCCCUGGGAAUUAUAAAUCUUAAAUUCUUUUACCAACAGACUAAGAACCUGAAAAAGGGAACCCCGAUACCUAGUAAUAUGUCUUGCUCAAUUCUUUGGGAUACAAUCUGGAUGUCUCACAAAGGAUAACUCAAGACCCCCGUCCAGUUAUAUCAGCCUUUUAUUAUACUUACUGACUUUUGCAUAGAGUAUUGUAAGAAAACCCAGAAAGUGAUAUUUGAAACGAAGACAUUGACAUUAUUUAAGUAUAUAAUUGUAGCACAAGAUAAUUUAUUAUCAGUCCUGGAUUUUUUUUUUUUUUUUGAGUGGGAGGGGAGGUUGAGAUAACCCAGGUCUAUAGCCCUAGAACUGGCCUCAAACUCCCAGAGGUCCGCCUGCCUCUGUUUCCAGAGUACUGUGAUUACAGAUGUGUGUCACCACUACCCAACUUCUUUGGCCUUUUUAUGCCUUCUUUGACAAAAGUUCCUAGAAAAUUACCUCAGAAAGAGAUGUUACAUAAAAUGGGAGUUACAGAAGGAUGUUAAUAUUAAGUUCAAAGCAGUGUUUCAUUCUAUAUGCUCAUUAUACAUUUAAAGCAACAGUUUCACAUGGCCUUGCUUUAUCAUAGUGCAUACCUGUAGCUUUAUCCAUGGACCUAAAUAUUUUUCCUUGAACACAAAUUUGUCCCAAGACUAUUCUUCUUUUUAGUGUAAUUAUGAAAGCUCACUGUAUUUCUUUUUUUUGGGGGGGGGGUCUGGUCAAUAGGGUGGGGUAAUGCCCAGGAACUGUUAUACUAAUAAGGACAGGAAAGGACAGGAAAGGCAUAUCAGCUGCACGAUGCAAUCCUCUGAUGAAGUCCCUUUGGGACCAUACCUCACAGAGCUCACCCAUCGCAGACAUGCAGAAGCAAUAGGCCACCUCCAGGAAAGCCACCUGCUAGCCUUAGCCUAUCCUAGGUGACUCCUGACACCCAACCCUACAGCUCAUUUUGCAAAGGCCAAGAGGUGCCCUAGUUAGUGUCUGUAAAAAAUGACCAGAGAGCUAGAAGUAAGGUCCACCUAUACAGUGGUAAGACUUCCUAACAUUUUUAAAGAACAUACAUUUUUCUUUCUUUUUUUUUUUUAAGGAACUGGACUAUUUGAAAUAGUAACUAGCAGUUACUAUUCUGUUGCUGUGAUAAAAUGCCAUGAGCAAGUCAUCUUCUUUGUGGGAGGAGGUAUUUGGGCUUACAGUUCCAUAGGGAUGAAAAUCCAUCCUGGUGGAGAAGCGUGGUGUCAAGCAGCAGCAAGAAGCUGCGCUCUCACACCCUCAGCUACAAGCAUGAAUCAGAGAGUAAACCAGAAGCAUGUGAUACCUCCAGUGAUACACUUCUAUCAGCGAGGCUAGUCCACCUCAGCCUCACUAGCAGCAUGGCCAACUGGGACAUCCUCAACCACAGCAUAGUACCCAUGAGUUCUAUACAGUACAUCUAUGCAGGAGGCAACUUUCUCCUGUUAGGUUCUUUUAAUAAACAAAGCCUUGGAUUCUCCCACAUCAACGGGUAUAAAUAUGUUAGCCAAACAGAACACACAGAUAUUUUGAUGUAUAACUUGCAUCUAACAUGUACAUAGAAAGUUCAUUACUUAUGAGAGCAACCUGAGCCUCUUUCCAAGCCAUGCAUAGCAGCUUAUAUUUGCACCCUUCCUGCAGGAAGAAGAUGGGGACUGUUAGCUACAUCUCCGUGGAGCUCAUUUCGUUUACAUAUGUAUGUUACUUCCAAAUUUGCAUUUUCAGUGACAAAACUGCCAAAUCCAGAACAGUUGUCCUAAGAAAGGUGCUUUGAACCAUCUUGAAGCUAUAAUGCCAUUUGGCCAGCAGAUGGCACACUUUAGGUUAGGGUAGGGAUGGGGUGAGGGGAGUUUUUAAACCUGCUCUGAAAAUAUAAAAUGCAUUUAAUGGAAGGAAAAAUGAUCAUUAUAAUCUCAAAAAUUUAAAAAACAUGUUUAAAACAUGCAAUUAGUGUUAAAGGUAAAAUACAAGCAUUAUUUCUAACAAGUCACUACAAAUAAAGCAAAUAAAAGAUAAAACCUAGAUCAUGUGAAAGAUGUAAGCAGUUUAUAUGAAUGAAUAAACAAUUAAAC
rnacentral:lncRNA from 1 species